CGUUGGUGACCAGCGGAGGGAUCAUUACCGAGUUUACAACUCCCAAACCCCUGUGAACAUACCUAUACGUUGCCUCGGCGGAUCAGCCCGCGCCCCGUAAAACGGGACGGCCCGCCCGAGGACCCUAAACUCUGUUUUUAGUGGAACUUCUGAGUAAAACAAACAAAUAAAUCAAAACUUUCAACAACGGAUCUCUUGGUUCUGGCAUCGAUGAAGAACGCAGCAAAAUGCGAUAAGUAAUGUGAAUUGCAGAAUUCAGUGAAUCAUCGAAUCUUUGAACGCACAUUGCGCCCGCCAGUAUUCUGGCGGGCAUGCCUGUUCGAGCGUCAUUUCAACCCUCAAGCUCAGCUUGGUGUUGGGACUCGCGGUAACCCGCGUUCCCCAAAUCGAUUGGCGGUCACGUCGAGCUUCCAUAGCGUAGUAAUCAUACACCUCGUUACUGGUAAUCGUCGCGGCCACGCCGUAAAACCCCAACUUCUGAAUGUUGACCUCGGAUCAGGUAGGAAUACCCGCUGAACUUAAGCAUAUCAU
rnacentral:rRNA from 1 species